ACUCGCUUGGUGAAAUAGGUAAACACGAUAGACUUAAAAUCUGUUUCUUGUUAAAGAUUAUCGGUUCAAGUCCGAUAGCGAGUA
rnacentral:tRNA from 1 species